GGGGCGGGCCUGGGGAAGGGACUCCCGCGGCCCUAAGGUGCUGGCGGGCGUUUGGCGUUGCAGCUGUGUGGGCGCUGGUGCGUGCGAGUAGCGCUCGAAGAAACCCAAAGGCGUCGUGGGGCUGCCGUGUGCCCCAGAGAGCACUGCAGGCCGGGUAGGGGCUAAGGCUCCCCGCAGUCUUCUGUGUGUCGUCCAGUACGCAGUUGAAAUCGUUCUCCAACCUGGCCAGUCCUCCGAGGCCCUUCUCAGGCGACCAGACUCUGUUAACAGAGUCCAUUGCUAAAACUCCUCGUUAGUAUUUACCACUCCUCCAGUCUGUGUUUUGAAGCAGUGGUUUUCAACCACUGCCCGUUUUCAGAAGAAAUCAUCUCAAGCGUCCGUGUGCUGCUAGAAGCCGGGCCGGGAGGUCUUGGUGCCGGACUCCACCCUGCAGCCCUUCCCUUUCGCCACCGCCCUGUGCUUAGAGAAACCUUAGAGUGGAGCAAUGAGUCGCCCUUGACUGAGUAACUCUUCGGGGUCAACUUCUCCUUCCACGCCAAGGAAAGGAUUCCAGGGCGAUGUUUCUGGAAAUAGAGAUCUGACCAAGCCACUGCUCUGGUGAAAAUUCAGUGGGUCCCUAGCACCUAGUGCAGCGGCUCCUAGCCUGAGUAUUGCCGUCUUUCGGUGGGGAGGGGUUGGGUUUUUUUGUAGCAUCUGUUGAUCUGAUCUCCAACAUCCUCCACGUCAAUUCCCACUCCACCCACAUCCCUUAUCCUAUACGUAAGCUUUCCAGCCACGGUGCUGGCUUGGGUGGGGGUGCGUGCGGUGCUGACACCAAAAUGGAGGUCCCGUGUUUCUGAGAGUCUCUUUCAGAGCAAUGCAAACCUGAAACUACUCCUGCCAAGAAACGAUUGCAGCUCUUCCCGGAAAAGUUAAAGCCUUUGAGAAACAAAGCUGAGUAAGAAGGAGAACUAAGAAAGAGACUGAAGCAUGGUCUGUGGAGAAGGCACUUGUGCAAACACCAGGAGAAUGAGGGGCCUGAGUUGUCUUCGUUUCUCCUAAAAGCAUGCAUUCCCGGCUGGGCGCGGUGACUCAUGCGUGUAAUCCCGCCACUUUAGAAGGCUGAGGCAGGCGGAUCACCUGAGAUCGGGAGUUCGAGACCAGCCCGACCAACAUGGAGAAACCCCAUCUCUAUUAAAAAUACAAAAUUACCCAGGCAUGGUGGCACAUGCCUGUAAUCCCAGCUACUUGGGAGGCGAAGGCAGGAGAAUUGCUUGAACCCAGAAGGCGGAAGCUGCAGAGAGCCGAGAUUUCGCCAUUGUACUCCAGCCUGGGCAACAAGAGUGAAACUCCAUCUCAAAAAACAAACAAACAAACACACAAACAAACAAACAAACACAUUCCCUCCCAGGCCACCCAAGUGAGGGCAUGAAGCACAGCGUGUGUGUGUGUGUGUGUGUGUGUGUGUGCACGCGUGUGUGCAUAUGUGUGUUUGUGUGUUGCAGGGGUUACAGUGGACAGGAUGUGGGAGGGCAGCUGCAGCUCCAAGCUGCAAGUCUUUCUGAUAGAAUGCUUAAAACUCCUUGGACCACAGCAAGAGAGUGUUUUCAUUUGCACCCAUUUUUAUUAGCGUUUGAACCUGUACUUUUUGUAGCAUGUAAACCUUAAGCUGCUUAACUAUUCCUUGAAGCAUUUACACCAGCGGUUCCCAACCUUUUUGCUACCUGAGACCAGUUUUCUUGAAGACAAUUCUUCCACGGACCCGGGAGAAGGGGAAGGGAUGAUGUGGAGAUGAUUCAAGCCCAUUACAUUUAUUGUGUGCUUCAUUUCUAUUAUUUCACUGUAAUAUAUAAUGAAAUAAUUACACAACUCACCAUAAUGUGGAA
rnacentral:lncRNA from 1 species